rnacentral:rRNA from 1 species
GCAUUAUACCGUGAAACUGCGAAUGGCUCAUUAAAUCAGUUAUCGUUUAUUUGAUAGUACCUUACUACUUGGAUAACCGUGGUAAUUCUAGAGCUAAUACAUGCUGAAAACCCCAACUUCGGGAGGGGUGUAUUUAUUAGAUAAAAAACCAACGCCCUUCGGGGCUUCUUGGUGAUUCAUGAUAACUUCACGGAUCGCAUGGCCUUGCGCCGGCGACGGUUCAUUCAAAUUUCUGCCCUAUCAACUUUCGAUGGUAAGGUAUUGGCUUACCAUGGUUUCAACGGGUAACGGGGAAUUAGGGUUCGAUUCCGGAGAGGGAGCCUGAGAAACGGCUACCACAUCCAAGGAAGGCAGCAGGCGCGCAAAUUACCCAAUCCCGAUACGGGGAGGUAGUGACAAUAAAUACUGAUACAGGGCUCUUUUGGGUCUUGUAAUUGGAAUGAGUACAAUUUAAACCUCUUAACGAGGAACAAUUGGAGGGCAAGUCUGGUGCCAGCAGCCGCGGUAAUUCCAGCUCCAAUAGCGUAUAUUAAAGUUGUUGCAGUUAAAAAGCUCGUAGUUGAAACUUGGGCCUGGCUGGCAGGUCCGCCUCACCGCGUGUACUUGUCCGGCCGGGCCUUUCCUUCUGGAGAACCUCAUGCCCUUCACUGGGUGUGUUGGGGAACCAGGACUUUUACUUUGAAAAAAUUAGAGUGUUCAAAGCAGGCCUUUGCUCGAAUACGUUAGCAUGGAAUAAUAGAAUAGGACGUGCGGUCCUAUUUUGUUGGUUUCUAGGACCGCCGUAAUGAUUAAUAGGGACAGUCGGGGGCAUCAGUAUUCAAUUGUCAGAGGUGAAAUUCUUGGAUUUAUUGAAGACUACUACUGCGAU